rnacentral:rRNA from 1 species
UACGUAGGGUGCAAGCGUUGUCCGGAAUUAUUGGGCGUAAAGAGCUCGUAGGCGGUCUGUCACGUCGGCUGUGAAAACCCGAGGCUCAACCUCGGGCCUGCAGUCGAUACGGGCAAACUAGAGUGUUGCAGGGGAGACUGGAAUUCCUGGUGUAGCGGUGAAAUGCGCAGAUAUCCGGAGGAACACCAGCGGCGAAGGCGGCGCUCUGGGCCGGUACUGACAUUGAGGAGCGAAAGCGUGGGUAGCAAACAGG